rnacentral:rRNA from 1 species
GUGAAAGCUAUAAGAAAUUAUAGCCCAUCCACAAGAACACUACCCAGGUGCUGCAUGGUUGUCGUCAGCAGGUGGCUUGAGUUGCUCCCUUAAAUGGGGUAACCCUGCGCAACCCUUGUCCUAUGUUUCAUGUGUCAUAGGAGACUGCCCGGGACAACCGGGAGGAAGGUGAGGAUGACGCCAAAUCAGCAUGGCCUUUUGAUGCCCUGGGCUGCACACGUGGUACAAUGGGGCCGACAAUGGGAAGCUAAAGAGUAAUCUGGAGCAAAUCCUAUCAAACGGUCUCUCAAUUCGGAUUGAGGUCUGAAACCCGACCUCAUGAAGCCGGAAUCGCUAGUAACCGCAGAUCAGCAUGCUGCGGUGAAUACGUUCCCGGGUCUU